rnacentral:tRNA from 1 species
GAGCUCGUAACUCAGCGGAUUAGAGUAUAUGGCUACGGACCAUACUGUCGGGGGUUCGAAUCCUCCCGAGCUUA